GGGGAUGACGUCAAAUCAUCAUGCCCCUUAUGAUUUGGGCUACACACGUGCUACAAUGGACAAUACAAAGGGCAGCGAAACCGCGAGGUCAAGCAAAUCCCAUAAAGUUGUUCUCAGUUCGGAUUGUAGUCUGCAACUCGACUACAUGAAGCUGGAAUCGCUAGUAAUCGUAGAUCAGCAUGCUACGGUGAAUACGUUCCCGGGUCUUGUACACACCGCCCGUCACACCACGAGAGUUUGUAACACCCGAAGCCGGUGGAGUAACCUUUUAGGAGCUAGCCGUCGAAGGUGGGACAAAUGAUUGGGGUGAAGUCGUAACAAGGUAGCCGUAUCGGAAGGUGCGGCUGGAUCACCUCCUUU
rnacentral:rRNA from 1 species